rnacentral:misc_RNA from 1 species
GAGCAACAGUAGCAGGUAUUUCACUGCGAAACUUGAGGCCAUAAGUUCGAUACUCCCUUUCGCUUGGAAACAAAGGUUCAGUAACUACAGUUUCUUUUCGUGCUAAAGUCGCAUCACUAGUAAUCCCAGUGGGAUUUGUUCGGAGAUUUUCCCUUCCUUGUUCAGAUUCAUGAUAAUCCAAUGUGCGGUCAACUACUGCAGAAGCAAAGGCCUGCAGAUGCUUUGCUGAUUGAAGACCAUAG